CGGACCUCUCCCUCUCCGGCGUCUCGCGUCCUCGCCCCUCGUCGCUCGUACCGCUCGGGCACCCUGUCGGGAAGCUCGUCGGACACCCCGUGCGACCCCGUCCGGAGGUUGCACCGCGUCGACCAGCCGCACCUGCGAGACCCCGACCAGAGGUACCAGCACGUCCGGCGGGACCGCCGCGCGGCGGUGGCCCUGCGGACGCACGCCGAGCGCGUCGUGCACCUCGAGCAGCCGCCGGACGAGUCCCUCGACCUCGAGCGCCUCGACUACGCCGCCCUCCGGUGGUCCGCCGGCGACCUCGUCGAGCCGCCGCGCGACGCCGCCACGAUGCGCGAGCAGUGCCGCACGGUCCUGACGCCGAUGGACGCGGCGGACAACGACCCACAGGCCUACCGGCUGCUCGAGGCGCGGUGCGUCGUGCUCUAGCUGUACAAGUAGGCGGAGUAGGGCGAGUAGCGGGAGCAGCUGUUAAGAUGACGUCUAUCAGCGGCACAGUUCCGACUACUCCCCCACGAGUGACAUCAGUGUCUAUCAAGUUUAGCAGUGUAGUCCGAAGGUUUGUUUCCUCGAUGUCUUGUGACGCUAUAACCUCUUGUGGGUAAACAUCCAUUCGAGAAUGAAGAGACUUAUAGGAUUACGCGAAUUAGUACCUGAGUCUACACCUUUGAUUAACUGACUCCAAAGUACAGUUACAAUAUACGAAGUUCUUAAAGCCUAACGAAGUAACAUAGGUAUACCUACUAAAACUAUACUGAAAACAAUGUGUACAAUGAAAAAGUACUUAUUUAUAAGACAGUGGUGUAUCUUAAAUUGACAUCAUUUUAUCUUCAAUUAAUCGUGCAGUACUUUCUCGUGAUCGAUGACCUUCGUUAGUAUAUGAGGGAGGCAAGGUUUUAUCUACUGGGUUGAAAAUGAUUGACACAUGAUUUCAAUCAUGUUUCCACUCAGUAGAUAAAACCUUGCCUCCCUCAUACAUACUAUGAUGGAGACAUUUGUUUAUAUUCUGGCUUGUGACUCAAGAUAUGAACUCUUUAAGGAAAUCGUGUAUGAAUGAGGGAAUCAUUGGUGUACUUUGUGUUUUUUUGACCUAGUAAAAGAGUUAUAAAAAAAUAUGAAAAUCAUCACAGCUGCAAACAAUUUAGAGGUAAUCACUGUUACUAUCUAAUAGACACUCAGUCCUUUUCACCUGGACGUUCUUGUCUUAUAGCAACUGUAACUUCUUGAACACUUCGAAACAUGGGCAUACCUUCUCCGAACGCGCCCUAAGUGUUCCAAGCUAAAGACAGUCUAGAACCUACGAUGUCUCUUAAAAAGUCUCUUCUACUAUUAACCUACCCCUCCUAAACCCUCCCACAUGUUCCCGGUCAACGGACCACCUGAAUUAUAACGGUAGUUUUCUCGACUACUCGUGCGUCGUUACCAACUUCAGUUGUCACUUAACGUCGAACCUUUCGAAGUCGUACGGUUACACUAAUCCAAUAACCCCACCACGUAGGUACCCUUUCUUUCCUAAGAUCACAUACUUAAGUACGUUUUACCAAGGAACCUAGCAAUGGAUACGCUGUCUUGUUUUCCCGGCAACGAUGUGACCAGAUCCGCUAAGUUCUAUUAAUGUCCCAAUUGUCUCCCUUAACAAAUGGACGUAUUCGUGAAGUACAAGACCGAACAGGUGUCUCUGAACUUUGGUGUAUUACAGGAGAACCUAACAUUGUACUAGGGUUUCUAACGACUAAAACCUAGUCGAUCUCGUGACUCAAGUCUACAUCGUCUUCUCGCGUGCUCAUCCCAGCACCCUUGGUCACCAAUGUUUCGAGGCCUCAUACGUAGAGCUAAGAGUUCCUCAAAUGAGUUACUUCUGUCUACACAAGUCGAAACCGCAAAACCAAGACCACUAAUAAUCACCGGCUUUCUUAUGGUAUGAGCUGUUCGCUCCCCUAUGACAACCACUAGAACAUGCUCUACGGACCGUAUACACCUUCCUGGUUUCCAACGUACUAGUCUGAAGUUGAACUGUUCGUCGUUGAUGUCUCCAGUCUCAAUUCUAGACAUUGACAUGUGUGAUCUUUGUGUAGUCCUAGAGGUUUAUACGUGGACUUCUAGAGGUACGAGUCCAUUGCAUGUUAUAUUCUUGAGACUUGACUUCCACCAGAAGAAACACACACACACACACACGGUAUCUUGAGACUUGAGACUUGACUUCGUCUCUCUGCAUUCGUUGCUGUGUAUCAUUAGUCUUCGGUAAUCACGCGCAAAUAUCUAAAGAUUAUGAGCCUUAAGUAAUCACGAUCAACCUUUCUACCUUUCUAAGUAGAAUAUGAGCCUAAGUAAUCACGCGCAAAAUCGGUAACGGACCCGGCUGAGCCUAAGUUUUUGCUUUCGCGCGCAAAAUCGAUACGGACCCGCUGACGCUGAGCCUAAGUUUAACGAACGGCGCAGAGAAGAAAGAACGAGCGGGGGGCAGAGGGCUUAAGGGCUAGAUAGAGUGGAGCGAGAGGUGGCGUAGGAGAAGGAGGGAGGGCGGCCUAGGGACGAGAGCGCUAGCAACAAAUUAGCAACGAGGGCGCUGAAGCGAUGGCGCUGGUACCGGCCGUGGUGCCACGAAGGCGUCAGAGACGAGGGCGCGGCAUCGCGGCGGCGGCGGCGGCUGGACGCGAGGACGAGGAGGGCGCACGCGCAUGUGGGGCGGAACUACCGCUUGGGGCGCCGACGGUUCUCCGGUUUCGCAGGGCCUAGGCACGUGCUGCACGUCGGCGGCCGCUUCGCGCAAGCGCCACGGACGAGGCCCCCGUUCGAGGUACAGCACCAGGGGCAGUUGUAGUUCCCGUCGUCGUUCGAAGGCACAGGGUCGCCUCCGUUCCUAGGUUUCUGAGGCUGCACGGAGGUGGGAAGGCCCUAGUUCUUGGUCCAGCGGCUUAGAGGCCUCUCGCGCUGCGUUGGCUUCGGCGUCUAGUCGUACGCGCUUGACUAGCUCUUUCGAGCGGAGUGGUACCGAGCGGAGCUGUUCCGAGCGAGACGGAGGUUUCUUCUCCGGUUGGCAGCCGUCCUCUAGCUCGCGUCGUCUCGUCUCCGGGCCGCUUUCCACCUCGUCUACCGCCUGUGCCACGUCAAGUUGCUGGGGACCUAGGUAGUGAGGCUGCACUGGUUCAGGGGACUCCUCGACGAGUUUCGUUCUGUCGUGCGUACCGCAAUAGUUCGAGUGGAGGAGCUCUACCGAGCAGCUGCCCUGAAACGUAGUCUCCUUCGUUUCGUCUCCUUCGUCUCCUUGGUUAAGGAAAGAACUCAGGCACACCCACUCGGAAGCUAAUUCAAUCAGGAAGGAUUUGGUAAGUGUGUACUCAAAGUAAAUUAGAAACGUAGAGAUCCAAGACGUGAAUUAGUGGUUCUAAAGAUCACAAGAAAGUUAGGGAAAGUCAGUAAUCAUUAAAAUGUUCUCACAGUCGUCUCAGAGGUAGAUCGAUCCGUCGUUUUUGGAACAAUUCUACACAUGCCGUAUCAAUGUGAUGUAGGUGUGGACCAGGAUUCAUUCCCAAAUUCAUUUAUUUCCCGUAAAAGUUAUUUAGUUUCAUUUCGUCUACUCGGAUUUUUCCUUCGAGUACAUGACGUUAAGGCCGUGCUCUGUCUCGCAUUUUGCGUGAGCGGCGUUUUAGGUUUUGCGGGCAAACGAUGGGCCGAACAUCGUCCUUUUUUCCUCAUCUUAACUUGAACAGCUAUGUGUGUCAUUAGUACACUCGACGGAUCGCAGACCUCUGAUACGACUGGGAGGACAUUUUAAUUAGAACCGACUGAACCUAAGAAUCCGUAACCGCAGCACCACUCAAUUUCAACGUCAAAGAUUGCUCAUCGUAACCAACCACUUGAGAACACACAUACACACUCACUUCGAAACUCGAUUCGUUCAGGAACUACAUGGCUGAUAGUUCAGUAUGACAUUAGUUAAAACCUAUACUUACUCUUUUAACAACCAGACUUAAAACGUCUCGUAAACUCAUUAGAAAAGCAUAGAUAAAUAAGAACAUACGAAGACACCGAAGAAUUUCGUAAGACGACGAGAUCAGCCUUUUCACACAUGACUCCGUAGUCCUUCUUGUAACCUAGAGAAAGAUGCAAAAGUACACAACAUACAAGGAAGGAUUAUUGUUAAGAAAAGUACUUGUUUCUUCUAAUGACGACACGAACUUGAUAAGGUUUAGUGACAAUAAAAAGUCCUCUUCUUGUCUAUAUACAGGGGCAGAUCUUUUAAAAUAUGGUGUCGUUAAGUCUUAAAUAAACAGCGUAGUCCUUCCGCGGUUUUUCGUACAGAGGACUGGAGGACUUAAGACUACGUAUGUACGUAGUAACAACGGUUCACGAGUACAUAUGAACGACAGACUUAAAACGUUGAGGAUGUCUAAAGCAAAUCAUGUCAACGACAUAUACGGUCCGGUCGUUACCACGAAUGAAGUAAAUUAAUUGUAUAAGUAACCGUACUUAGGGGACUCAAUUCCCUUAAUGUUACGUAGUAUGGAGUAGACUUCGAAAUAUUUCUAUCCUGAAGUCACUCUCUGUUGUGUUAUAAUAGGUACUUCGAAGAUAAUUUAAAAUCAUAUAAAAGUUCAAGUAUUCGAUCGCCGAAGAUGUUUACUACUUAGCUACUAGACGUACUGUUUCUUUUACCUUCUAGGAUUAUAAUAUAAACAUAUGACAAUCGGUAUAGUUACAACUAACGUUAAAGUAAUCACUGCUCCUAUAUAACAAGUACUGAGACCUUGUCGUCCGGACGUUCUUGUCUUAUGUCUUUUGGGAGCUGUUGUUUCUUAAUCACCUUGAAACGUACGUGUGUCCUCUUCUAAUGGGUCCUAAGUGUCACAAGUUAAUGAAAGUCUAGCACCUACGAUGUCUAUUAAAGACUCUCUUCUCUAUAGAACCUAGACCACCUAAACGAUGUCGUAUGUUCCCAGUCAACGGGGUACCUGAACACCAACCAUAGUUCUCUAAGCUAGUGGCACGUUACAAUAGACUAAAGUCGUUACUUGACGUCGAACGAUCCGAAGCCGUAUGUUUACAUUAUUCCAAUGAUCCCACCACGUAGGUACCUCUUCUUUCCUAAGACCAGAUGUUCAAGUACGUGUUACCACGGAACCUGGUAGUGUAUAAACUGUCUUAUUUUCCCGGUAAUGAUCUGACCAGAUUCUCUGAGUUUUAUUAGUUUCCGAUUUUGGGACUCAGGUCUGCAUUGUCUUCUCGUAUGUACGUCCCACCACCCGUGAUCACCAAUGUAUCGGGGCCUCAUACGUGGAGCUCCCCAAAUGAGAGACUUCUGCCUACACAAGUCGAAGCCGUAGAACCAAGACCUCUGGUAAUCGCCUGCUUUCUUGUGGUAUGAGCUGUUGGCUCCCCUAUGGCAGCCGCUAGAACAUGCUCUACGGACCGCAUACACCUUCCUGUCUUCCGACGUACUCGAGCAUCUACCUAGUGAUCCCGUACCUAUGCUGUAGCGGCUCCAUCGCUACAUGCGAGUCCACCGCGACGAGACGCGAGUCCUUCUAGGUCACCUAGCGGGGCGGUACUGCCUACAACGACGUUACGACUCGAGACUUUCGUACUCGAAUGGUUGCCUCGGAUUCCUCGGAAGGCGCGACUCACUUCCCCCACGACCACUCCUAUGUAUGUAUUUGGCUAGUUCGGCCUGUUAUCUGUAUUGGUAUUGCUCAAGUCGGUGUCACGACUGAUCUCAAGCGAAUUAGUAUCUGGUCCUCCAAACUACGCUGCCUUUGACAAUUUACGGUUUAUACCAACCUUAUAAAAAAACCUAAUUAAAUUUAACGAACGGUGUAUACAGGUAUACCAACCUUAACCUUGCACUCCUUCCUAGUACCGGAAAAAUAACAAGUUUCGCUGCACGUCUAAAGACUACAAUUCUAGUCACCUCUAUUUGAACAAAGACACCAUGUCCUGACUAAUAGGUAGUCGAUGUACUUUAAUAUUUACUUUAUACA
rnacentral:rRNA from 1 species